rnacentral:lncRNA from 1 species
AUUCGGCGCUCGCGCCGCCGCGGUGCGCCUAGCGCGCCGCGAGGCCCGGGAGGCGCGCGGGCAGGGAGCCCGGGGCCAGGGAGGGGUGGCCGGGGGCCGCGACGGCGCCUUUUCCUGAGCAAACCCCGCUCCCGGGUCGCGGCGGCGCCGACCCGCGCCCAGUCCCGCCGCCUCCCCUCCUCCCUGGCUGCCGCACCGCGGUCGCCCGGCUCCGCGUGCUCCCGGGCAGCGGGACCAGAGCUCCUCCAGCUCCCACUCACUGUCGCGGGGGCGGCAAGCGGUGGGGGGAAAUUCCCGCACAGAAGAUUGGAUUUUCGUCAAGGUUUACAACUGUGCCCUCUGGAGACGGGGAAAUUAGGAGUUGGAGGAGUAGGGGAUUGACAAAGGACGCUUCAAUACAAGUGGGCGGCAACCAUCACCGC